UACGUAGGGGGCAAGCGUUAUCCGGAUUUACUGGGUGUAAAGGGAGCGUAGGCGGGAACACAAGUCAGGCGUGAAAUACCGGGGCUCAACUCCGGGGCUGCGCUUGAAACUGUGUUUCUUGAGUGAAGUAGAGGCAGGCGGAAUUCCUAGUGUAGCGGUGGAAUGCGUAGAUAUUAGGAGGAACACCAGUGGCGAAGGCGGCCUGCUGGGCUUUAACUGACGCUGAUGCACGAAAGCAUGGGGAGCAAACAGG
rnacentral:rRNA from 1 species